GAUAUUCAAAAUCCUUUUCUGAAAGAUGAACGCUUGUCUUAAGCUAACUGAACAUAGGAAUGGAGAACAUCUCGAAGAAUGGGCGGGUUAGAGUAGGUCUCGAGCCUUAUAUCCUUCCUUUCUGAAACCAUGAACCAGACCAUAUUACAACCCUCAAAAGGCCUAAUUGAAGCAUGGUCUAUUUCGAAAGCAUACUAUGGUAAGAUCACGUUAAGCUGACUCCUAAAGAUUUGCUUGUC
rnacentral:lncRNA from 1 species